AUGGCUUUAUCGUUGCCUGGCAGUUCCAUCGGCUUGACAUCGAGUCGUGUGUUUCAUUGUGGGACUGAUUUUCUUCUAGCAUCUUCAAGUCACGGUGAUGACCGUCUAAUUCUUUGGUGUGUGCUUGGGCCGGUUGGACUUCUUUUGUUUAUAUAUGGGUUGAGGUGGCUGGGUUAUCUGGCCAAGACCGUAUGGAAAUCUAAGACUUGUCUUGUUUACAUGUGUCCCUUUUGGAAAUUUCAUUACACGUGCAUUGGUUGCUAUUCUUUUGUACGUUUGCAUGUUGGACUUCUAUUUUUGUUAUCCGUGUUAUUCACCUCAGCGUUGGUUGCCCCGUGA
rnacentral:rRNA from 1 species